GUAGUGGUGGUCCAGUGGUAGAAUGCUCACCUUCCAUGUGGGAGACCCAGACCCAGGUUCGAUUCCCAGCCAAUGCA
rnacentral:tRNA from 1 species